GGACCAAUCAGCAGGACAUGGGCGGGGACAAAUAAGGGAAUAAAAGCUGGCCACCUCCACGCAGUUACAGCAACCUGCUGGGGUUACCUUCUAUUCUGUGGAAGGUUUGUUGUUUGUUUCACUCUUUGCAGUAAAUCUUACUGCCGCUCACUCUUUGGGUCCAUGCAGCCUUUAAGAGCUGUGACACUGUGAAGGUCCGCAGCUUCAGUGUGCAGCGUCAGUCUUCAAGUCAGCCCGACCAAGAAUCCCAGGAAAGAACCAACUCUGGACAUCCUCAGUGGUGACUAAUUCCUUGCUGCUUCCUCAUGGGAGAUAAACUCAUGCUCAUGUAAGAAGAACAUCUGUCUUGGGCUAGGAGGAGCACAGGAAGAUGCCUUUAUCUCAAGAGCUAGGAAAUAAGGCAACUGUAUUAAAUUGUCAAGGGAGGACAGCAGACCAACAAGGAUGAAGAAGCUUGAAAAGUUCUUCAUUGCAGGGUCCAGUCAUUCUCUCUAAUGAUUUGCUGCUCCUCAAAAGAAUGUCUACACUCCCGAUCGCCCCUUUUGCCAUGAAAAAAGUUGAUGUUCACUGAACCUUCAGAGGGUGAAGAGGAAGCUUUUCCUUGACUUGUACACAGGCUGGAAAUAAAUAACCUCCGCUUAGGACACCCCUGGCAGGGGCUUUCCAAACCACUUCCAACCCUGGAGAGAAAGAUAAUGAUGUGCCCAAACAAAUCAAUGGUCCCUACUGGCACCUAUCAAACUGGCCAUGCCCAUGCCCAUUCUGGGCCCAUAUGGAAGCUCUGUUUGCACCUUUUGGUUGACCUCUGAGGAGCAGCUUGGAUACCUCCUUCCCCUUAACACUGUAGAGGCUCUCUCUGCAACAGAACUCCCUACAUCUCACAGCACCAGCCUCCGUUCUCCUACCAAGUGUGAUUUGUGUGUCUAGCCUUCUCUAGGACUUCUGCCAGAUUGGCCUCUCUUCAGGUACGGCUAGGAGAGCCACAUUCAAAACCAAGAAGAGAAAGGAGUCAUAGAGCCACAGCCAGAAUGUUUAGGAUCCAAGGUGGCUGCCAGGACUCCAGAUGUCACAUCCCUUUCCCAAGCAGCAGGAUGGAGAGAGAAAGAGAGAAGGUCGUCCAGUCUCUCUUUGAGAAGACUUCCUGGAAGAAUUGCACAUCUGCAGAUGUUCCGUGGAGCAUCAUCACCAAAAAUUCACACGAAACUGCCACUAGAAGCAAAUGGAGAAAGCACACGGCAGGACUGGGUGUCUUUAAUUGCCAUUGCGAACAUGUGUCCAGCUGCACCACGUGAAUGAUUUGCGGCGCAGCCGGGACCUGGCUCAGUUCUCUUGACACGUACAUCAACUCGCAAGCACUGAAGUGGCAAGGCUGUUUGCAGAAGACAUUUAAGGCAAAAAUAGAUUGCAUCUUAAAAAAUGACAUUCUGCUUACAGCCGAGGAACUCAGAUGAACUAAGAUACGGUGUGCAUGAUACCCUUCCCUUCACUUCAUCACCUUCUCGCUAUUGACACCCUUAUCUUCUCCAAGUCUCCUUACAGGACAUAGGUGGCACACUGAAGAAAGCUUCAAUGCAACAAUAAUUUACAAUAACAUGGGCACAGUAAUGGAAAACAGCAAAGAACUGUGAGGAACUUUGCUGGCACUUUUUCCAGGGCCAGCAGCUGGAAAGAGGGGCCACAAAACAUCAGCAAGGAAACUGCUGUUCUAAAAGAAAGACACAAGAAGCUGUGCUUCCAGAAGAGAAAAGUAGUCAGUGCCACCCCAGGAACCUGGCAUGGAGGGAUGCAGUGGUGUAAUGCCACUCUCUCCUUGCACCACCCAGAAGUCCAGCCCAUCCUGGGGACAGACGCAUGCUGAAAGUGGAGGGCGGGUCUGGAAGGGCAAAAGCAGAUGGCCCAGCAUAGCCCACCACUUUUCUUUGUCAACAUCAAGUAUUUCUGUGUCUGUACGAAAAACCAAGGUUCUGUCCCAGGGAAAUGACUGAGUCCCAUCAGCUACAGGAUCAUAACAAGGAGAUGUCGAUUCAGUCAUACUUGCCUGAAAGCUACAGCACCUUGAACGGUUCACCCAACCACCUCAUCUGCAUGUGGUUCCCGUGGCACGUAAAGCCCUAACUGGGUGGUCUCAGUUUCACACCGCCAUGAUUUUGUUUUCUGCUGGAAGCAUUUCCCCUUAUCACCAGAGCCUCCAAACCUAGAAAAGCCAAGAAAGCAGAGAUGGAAGCAAUUCCUGAUGUGGGCUAUUUGGGGCAAAACUGGUAUCUCCCCUUAUGUCCCCCGUGAGUAAGCAUUCCACAGACAGUUUCAAAACAUUAUGUUGUAUACUGAUGUACGCCAGAAAUAAUAAAACCAUCAGAAUUCCCUGUCAGUUGCUGAUUCUCUAAUAAAAAUAAAUCCAACCUUGGCCCCUAAUAUAACUGAAGAUAUUUGAAGAUAAGUCAUGUCUUUGUGGAUAUGAUAAUAUGUGAGAAAAUUAGUUUCUCCAUGAUAAACAGGUUAUGUGAAAACUCAUUAACCUCCACAGGUUUUGAGGAGUUUUUCCCAUUUAAAUGCCUGUUAUGUUUUGACUUGCUGAGUCUUCUGAAGCCUCACUCUUUUGCAUUUCUUUUUUUUUUAAAGAAGUAAAAAAAACUUUA